rnacentral:rRNA from 1 species
UAGCUACAGGCUUAACACAUGCAAGUCGAGGGGCAGCAUUUUAGUUUGCUUGCAAACUGAAGAUGGCGACCGGCGCACGGGUGAGUAACACGUAUCCAACCUGCCGAUAACUCCGGAAUAGCCUUUCGAAAGAAAGAUUAAUACCGGAUAGCAUACGAAUAUCGCAUGAUAUUUUUAUUAAAGAAUUUCGGUUAUCGAUGGGGAUGCGUUCCAUUAGUUUGUUGGCGGGGUAACGGCCCACCAAGACAACGAUGGAUAGGGGUUCUGAGAGGAAGGUCCCCCACAUUGGAACUGAGACACGGUCCAAACUCCUACGGGAGGCAGCAGUGAGGAAUAUUGGUCAAUGGGCGAGAGCCUGAACCAGCCAAGUAGCGUGAAGGAUGAAGGCUCUAUGGGUCGUAAACUUCUUUUAUAUGGGAAUAAAGUUUUCCACGUGUGGAAUUUUGUAUGUACCAUAUGAAUAAGGAUCGGCUAACUCCGUGCCAGCAGCCGCGGUAAUACGGAGGAUCCGAGCGUUAUCCGGACUUAUUGGGUUUAAAGGGAGCGUAGGUGGAUUGUUAAGUCAGUUGUGAAAGUUUGCGGCUCAACCGUAAAAUUGCAGUUGAAACUGGCAGUCUUGAGUACAGUAGAGGUGGGCGGAAUUCGUGGUGUAGCGGUGAAAUGCUUAGAUAUCACGAAGAACUCCGAUUGCGAAGGCAGCUCACUAGACUGUCACUGACACUGAUGCUCGAAAGUGUGGGUAUCAAACAGGAUUAGAUACCCUGGUAGUCCACACAGUAAACGAUGAAUACUCGCUGUUUGCGAUAUACAGUAAGCGGCCAAGCGAAAGCAUUAAGUAUUCCACCUGGGGAGUACGCCGGCAACGGUGAAACUCAAAGGAAUUGACGGGGGCCCGCACAAGCGGAGGAACAUGUGGUUUAAUUCGAUGAUACGCGAGGAACCUUACCCGGGCUUAAAUUGCAACAGAAUAUAUUGGAAACAGUAUAGCCGUAAGGCUGUUGUGAAGGUGCUGCAUGGUUGUCGUCAGCUCGUGCCGUGAGGUGUCGGCUUAAGUGCCAUAACGAGCGCAACCCUUAUCUUUAGUUACUAACAGGUUAUGCUGAGGACUCUAGAGAGACUGCCGUCGUAAGAUGUGAGGAAGGUGGGGAUGACGUCAAAUCAGCACGGCCCUUACGUCCGGGGCUACACACGUGUUACAAUGGGGGGUACAGAAGGCGGCUACCUGGUGACAGGAUGCUAAUCCCAAAAACCUCUCUCAGUUCGGAUCGAAGUCUGCAACCCGACUUCGUGAAGCUGGAUUCGCUAGUAAUCGCGCAUCAGCCAUGGCGCGGUGAAUACGUUCCCGGGCCUUGUACACACCGCCCGUCAAGCCAUGAAAGCCGGGGGUACCUGAAGUACGUAACCGCAAGGAGCGUCCUAGGGUAAAACUGG